rnacentral:rRNA from 1 species
AUGUCUCCUGAUGCUCGUCUAAGCUUGGUCAACUCAGUCCUGUCCGCUAUCCCUGUUCAUCUACUCAGGGCAUUCAAGCUUGACAGCUGGGCGAUCAAACAAAUAGAUAAGCUAAGGAGAAAUUUUCUGUGGCGUUCUAGGCCAAACUCCGAUAAGGGCAUGCCACUGGUAAACUAGAGCUCGGUUUGUCGCCCGAAAAACCUCGAUGGCCUUGGCAUUCUGGACAUUUGGAGAUUCAACAGAGCUUUGCGCCUUAGAUGGAAGUGGGUUGACUGGACAGAUAAAGGACGACCGUGGGCGGGA